rnacentral:lncRNA from 1 species
ACUUCAGGGAGGGUUCAGGCUUGACUCUCAUGCUGUGAGACCCAUGGUAGAUAAUUCUUUAAACUGAGUAAUAUCUUGGCUCUCUCUCUCCUUCUGUAUCUAUCUUAGCAGAUAGAGUUGGGAUUUAUUUUCAAAAGGAAAUCAAUUUUGAUUUCUGAGCACAUAUCAAGUGACACCCUCUUUCCUUAAAAAGUAAAGGAGAGAAAAGCACUUCCACAAGAAAAGUAGUGAGUGCUGCAAGGUGAGAAAGCACACACUAGCUGGUCCUCUGCCACAGCCCACAGUGGCCUAGGCUCCACACACGGCCAGAAUCUGCCUAUGUCUGUGUCUUACUCUCUUUUAUCAAAGCUAGUUGUCCAGUCCUGACUAGAAAGGGUUGUUUGAGAAGAAAAAAGAAGAAAAGAUUUGUAAUUAAAUAAAUCAUCUCUAAAAGUGUAACCCUGCAGCGUGGAUGGCACUGGCCAAGUCCUGGGUCUGCGGCAGAAGCUUUCCACUCCAGAGUCUUUACCGCUGGAUUCUUUGUAAUUUUAAUUGUUAAAAUGUACUGCUUUGAAAUAUACAUUUCCAAAUCUCUUCUUGUAAAUUUGUACACAUGGGUGUACACACACACACACACACACACACACACACUCUAAACCCCUUCCCCUGUAGAGUUUGAACCCAGGAUUUAGAAUUCAUAAAGUUUAGGCCAAAAGUAGUCUCACAUUUGCAUAGUCAUGAUAAGAAUGAUAAUUACUAGUAAUAUAUCUAAGAUAAUUUCCCUAAAAGUAGAAAGUUGCUCUCUUUUUCCCUGCCAAGUAAUACAGGAGGUACAAAAAAUAAAUUGCUUAAAAUUACAUUUAAAAAGUUCCUGUUCAAUGGGUUACAUGAUGAAACAAACAAGAACUGGAGCUGAAAGGGAGCGGGUUGUAUUUGAGUCAGGCAAAAGAAAAUAAUACCCUCCUGAUGUGUAUGUGAAGAUGGCUUUGUGGAGCACUAUACCUUAGACGUCCACAGAGGAUGGAGAGAUGACCACAGAGGAUGGAGAGAAAACAGCCCAAACCCACAGGUACUAUAAACAUCCCGUCUCACACACUUCCCUAGUGAAGAUUUCUAAGCAGGUUUAUUUUUUUUCCUUCAAAAACGGAAAGACUUGGGUCCUCAUCCCCAUCUCCAACUCAAAAAGAAUGUUCAGAACACAGAAAAAGGCAAGCGAAAGGCUUUGAUCAAAGACAAUGACCGUAAAUAUGUUGAGGUCCAUAAUUUCAGAAUUUUUGUUAUAUAGUUAUAUUUUAUAUUUCAUAAAUUGACCUGUUUCCCUGUAAUGUGGCAAAAUAUAUUUCCAUGGCAAGCCAUAUAAAUCUGCAGAACACUGUUUUCAGUGCUCACAGCUUCCUCCUCCCCCGCCCCUAUACGGAUCUACUAAUGACCACUUAGUGUGCCGCUGCUGCACAGUUAGGCACUACUUUGUAAUUAUGAGUAAUUCUAUAAUCCAAUAUUCUGAUUAAUGUCCUAAGCAAGUAAUGCAUGGAUAUUACAAAAAUUGGUAUAGAUUGCUAUAAAAUUCAAAUUAUUUUUCUUUUUAAAAUAUAUGAAUUUACCUGUUUUCUCACACUCUCUCAAUAUCCGAGAUUCUCAUUAAUUUUUAAUCAUCUAUAAUCCACUAGGCAAAAAAAAACCCCCACUGUUUUUGGAUACUAGUAUAGACUAUUUUACAUAUGUUUUUCCUUUUGUCAUUUGUACAUUAUUUAUUCUUACACCUUUUCAUUAUAUACAGAAACUUCAGUUUUCAUGUGAGUAGCAUGCCAAUUUCUGUGAUUAUUGGCUUUGAUAUUAGACUUUCAGCCUUCUUCACUCUAAGAUUAUGAAGCUAUUCACAUAUGUUCCAGUCUCCAUUUUAUACCCAGAUAUUCUUUAUUUCAAAUAAGUGUAUGUAAAGCAUUUGAAAAUUCUCUCAUUAAGAUAUGAGGGUGGGAUCUAUAUUAACUUACAUUCUUAAUAACCAAGUGCCUGACCUGACGUUACACAGACUAAAACCACCCUUGGUUUGUGACGUAAAUCAACACUUGAAUCACAUCUUUCUGGAAGGCAUAUUUGGUUCCACUAAAUGUUAAUUCUUUUACCAGACACACUGUUUAGACCACUAUGGCUCAGGUUUUCUUGUCAGAUAAACUUAUUUAUAAUUUAGUUCUAUCAAAUCCUGUGUUACAGUAGGAGGGAAACAAAAGACCAUAGGCAUCUGGAGGCAGUAACAGGAAUUGAGAACCAACAGCUUGAGAGGAGAAGAGGAGGAGUAUAAAAAGAGAGACUGAGCAUGGAGACUGAGAAAGAACAGCUAAGUGAUUCUUUAGUUUAAAGCUAAAUAGAGCAAGUAACAGAAUUACUCAGUGUUUUUAUUGUGGUGCUGGUGAUAGAAGCCAAGGCCUCAUUCAUGCCAGUCAAGUUCUGCACCACCAAGCUCAUCCCAUCCCUGAACAACAAAUC